CCCAAGAGUCCCGCCCUUUUGCCUCCGCCCUCGGAGCCCCGACCCCGGAGCCGGCCGGUGAGCUUUGCGCCUGGCCCGGUCUCACCCUGCGCAUGUGCUCGGCGUCCUGGGCUGCUGCGGAGGCGGAGGUUUACAGAGGUGGCAGCCCUCAUGGCAGGUCCCCUGUGGCGGGCCACAGCCUUUGUGCAGAGACACAGGACGGCCCUGUUGGUGGGUUCCUGUGCAGGCCUGUUUGGGGCUCAGAUCUCGUACCACCUCUUCCCGGAUCCUGUGGUCCCGUGGCUCUACCAGUACUGGCCUCAGGGCCAGCCAGCCUCCCUGUCCCCAGAGCUGCAGAGCCUGUUCGAGGAGGUGCAGCAGGAUAUCGGGGUCCCCUCGGGCCACCGCUUCAAGGCCUUCACCACCUUCACCUUCCAGCCUGUGAGCGCCGGCUUCCCGAGACUCCCUGCCGGGGCCGUGGUGGGCAUCCCCGCCAGCUUCCUGGGUGACCCAGUGACCAACACUGACCGGCCCGUGGUCGUCCACGGGCAGCGAGUGGACUGGCAGAGCCCAGUGGGUGCCCGGCUGAGAGAUGCCCUGACUCUGUCCCACGACGCCCAGAAGUUCGCCUUGGCCAGGGAGGUGGUGCACCUGGAGAGCGGGGCGGCCGCCCUGCAGGCCCUGCCAGCCCCUGCCUGCCUGGUGGGCACCUGGGCUCUGGGCGUGGGAGCCAAGCACGCCCUGGGGCUCUACGGAGGCCCCAUGAACUUGCGAGCCGCCUUCAACUUGGUGGCGGCAGUGGCGGGCUUCGUGGCCUAUGCCUUGUCCACGGACUCUCUCACUCACUCCCUGGAAGCCUGGCUGGACCGCCGCACGGCCUCGCUGUCCGCAGCCUAUGCCCGGGGCGGGGUGGAGUUCUACGAGAAGGUUCUGUCGGGCAACCUGGCCCUGCGCGGCCUCCUGGGCCGGCCCGGAGAGAAGCUGUACACGCCCAGCGGGAACGUGGUUCCCAGACACUGGUUCCGCAUCAAGCACCUGCCCUACACGGCCCGCCGGGACUCGAUGCUGCAGGUGUGGAGGGCGGCGCUGAGCCCCCGCAGCCCCUGAGGGCCUCAUGGCAGGGGCGGUUCCAGCUGGAGCAGCAGCACACAAAGCGGAAAUUCUGGACUCCUCAGAGGUUACAUGCCGGCCCACGUCACACCCGCCGCGGAGCCACGGCUCAUGGGGCAACGUCAGCUGCAAAGACCAGAAUUUCCUCUGGCUCCCCUCCCGGACUCAGUGUGUUCUUGGUUGGCCUCAGCCUGCAGCGGCUUGAAGCAGGGUUUCGGUUCCCGGCCAGAGAUUGAGGUCGGGUCGUGGAGGUGAGAGCACCGAAUCCAAGCCACCUGACCAGCGGUCAGUGACAAGGCCCUGGCCCUUCAGCUUUGCAGAAAAGAAUUCCCACAAAGACAGAAGGUAGAGAAGCGAAGUGUUUAUUAGGAGAAAAGAAGAGUGCAGUACGUGUGGAUAGACACACGGGCGGGCUCAGAGAGAGAGUCGCGCCCUUGUGGCCAUUUGAAUCACUUUUAUGGGGCAUUUCUGCCGGGUUUCCUCUGGCCAGUCAUCUCGCUCUGCCUGCCUCUGUGUCCGUAUUCGUUUAUCUCAGGGUCCUGGCCUGUGCGUGCGCAUCUCUUAGCCGAGGUGGAUUCCACCGCAGAGGCCUAUGGGGAGUUGCCAUCACCUACUGCGGGGCGGUGCCCCUCCCUUUUUGACCUCCAAGGAGCUUCCUAGCCGGGAAUGUCUCCUUGACUUCGAGAAUGAGGAGUAUGUGGUCUCUUAUCUUCUGUGGGGCAGGGCCCAGCCUCCUCUCUCGAUUGUCCUGCUGAUCUCGUCUUGGAGUAUUGGUCCACAGGGAAUGAAUCUCCAGUUGCUUACCCUGGGGCGGCCCGUGGUCAGACCUGGCUCCAGGCGAAACUGAAGCACAUGUUCAAGGUCUCACCGAAGGGCCCCAGCUCGCGGCAGAUCUCUUUUCUCCCUGCGCUCUUCUCUCUGCCGCUCACCUUCUCGGUCUCUCUCUUUCACGAGCGGAUUCCCUCCUUGCUCUCUCUGGUCGUCUGAAGAUAGCUCCUGACAGCAGGCACGGCCCUGCAGCUCAGAGCUCUAAGAGGGCAAGUCCCCUCUGCAGCCCCGACCCUACAGGAGGGGUGAGGGAGGGCAGGGACGCGGGGGGCGUGCCUUAGGAAACAAGCUCUCUCUUCCACCCCCUCCUUUACUCUCCUUCCGUGCUUCUCCCCAUUUAGCCGCUGUGCCCCGGCCCUCUGGAAAGACAGGCAGAUAUACAGAGCAGAAAGCAGAAUAAAAGCAGUCGCUUCCUCCCAGACCAUUAGGGGAAGAGAGUCACUGGGAGCAGACAAAAGAUCUGGGAGGAAACCACCAGGGAGUGGGAGCUGAUUCCCUGCGGAGGAACUGGAGCGGAGCUGUCCUUUCAGAAAACCAGGUGCCCCUGUGAAGUGAUGGAGCCGCAGGCAGAUUCCCGGGAAUCCAGAGGGUCACUGUGAUGGUUGACGAGUCUGUGCUGUGAAGCGUCCGGCCCUGUGUCAGGUCACAGUGGGGACUCGGCUGCCUUGUCUGGAGUGGACUUACUGCAGCAGCUGCAUGGUGAAGAAGAGACGGGGUGUGAGAGGCAACGCUUCGUGCCGUGACCUACGGCUGGCACAUAGCAGUGGCCCCUAAUAGGCUGUUGACAAGUCAGUGGUGAACAGAUGGAUGCUGUGCCCAGACCUGCCCUCCCCAGGCUGGGUCCCAGCAGCACUGUGCGGCCGCCUCUGCUUCACAGGAGGGUCUUCGUUCUCUAGGCCGCUGGACCAGCUUUUAUUGCUGUGUAAGGGAUUUCCUCAGGCGGUGGCCUGGGACGUCAUGGAUUUAUUACCUCGGACUUCUGGGCACUGCCCAGCUGAGUCUGCUGCUCAGGGACUCGCAGGCUGUGAUCAAGGUGCAGGAGGGGCUGCACUCCUACCUGGACACUUGACCAGGGCUGGCCUCAGAGCCUCGGCCCGAGCUGUCCACCAGCCUCAGUGCCUUGCAGGCUCAUUCUGCUUGCUGGCAGAGCCCAUCUGCUUAGCUGCAGGACUAAGGUCCUUGUUCUCGUGCUGGCUGGCAGCGCGUGAUCCUCUCGGCUCCUGGAAGCCGCCCACACUCCCUUGCCAAGUGGCCCUCUCACCACAUGGCAGCUUCCUUCCUCAGAGUCACCACGAAGGAAUCUCUCUCUCACUCCAGCCUGCUCAGAGCUGUGACUGUGUGUGUGUGUGUGUGUGUGAGUCUGUGUGUGUCGUGUGCACACACACAUGUAUGAUCACUCUGCCGUAUGAUGUAAUUUAUCAGAGGACUGACAGCCCAUCGCUUUCGCCAUAUCCUGUUGGUUAAAGGCAAGUCCCAGGUUCCACCCGCACCCAGGCUGUGAUUCACUGGGGGUCACCUUAGGGUGUGUGUGCCACACCUAUCCCCUCAGAGUUCUGUUAUCUGUUGGGUGAUGAACAAAUUUAUGUAUUUUCCUUCCACGUACACUAUUUGCAUUUUCCCCAGGAUGUUCAGGAAGUAAUUUCCUAUCUCCAGAUAACGUGAUAACAUCGGGUAUCCUGGCAAUGUUCGGACUGGUUUCCUUUGAGGCAGUGGAAGAGGUGGCCUCACUACCAGAAGCCUUCACUCUUCAGGGUCACUGCCCAGGUGGCCGUCCACUGGCCAUAUCAGUUCACCCAUUUACUGGUUUAUAUUUCUUGAGCAUCUGCUGUGUGCUUAGCAUCGUAUGUAGAGAUAAUGCUAGUCUCUUCCUGGGGAGCCGACUUCUUUACUUCCUUCUUUUCCGUCUGCUGAGUAAAAGCAUAUUCCUUUGCUUUCAGUCAAGAUACAUGUUCAACCACAAAUCACAGAAAGCCCAACAGUGACUUCAAUAAGUAAGGAUGGAUUUUAAUCACCUAACAAGAAGCCCAGGACCAGGCAGUCCAGGGCUGGUGCAGCUGCUCAAAGAUGUCAUCCUUGUCCCAGACUCCUUGCUCCAGCAUCUAACUUAGUCUUCAAGGUCACAAGACUGCUACCACAGCACCAGCCAUUGCAUCCAUAUUUCAAACAGGAAGAAGCAGGAAAGGCAAAGAGACUGGCCUUUUUGUCCUAGAAGGAUCACCCUUCCUCAGGACUUCCGCCUACAUCACAUAGGCCAGAACUCGGUCACAUAGACACUAGUAACUCCGAGAGAACUGGGGGAAGUGGAUUUUGUAGCUGGGCACCUCGUCAUCAGGAAAAAAAUCAAGCAGGAAGAUGGGAAAUGGAUUGGGGGUUGGUCACCUGCGGGACCACUGCGGGGCUUUGGGCCCAAUCUCACAGCCUCCCAAAGCUCAGAAAAUACACCUACAGUUUCCUGCAGUGACGGCGGCUGAGUCUUUCUGGGUCCUCGUCGACAGGCUGUGACGACACAGGGGUGUUCUUGCUUUAUUUGCCAGCAAGGCAUAAUCUGAGCAAAAGCAGGUGUCUUCAAAUGGAACUCACGGUCUUGUGGCCCAGGAGCCCUGCCGUCCAGAGCUCACUAGGGCAGGAGAGGUCUUGUGCCAGCAGUGCUUAGGGGAGAGGUCUCUUUUCCUUUUCUUCUGAAAAACAUGCACAAAUGUAAGGGAAUUCUGUGCAGGCCCUGGCCCUGUCUGCCCUGAGAGCCAGCCCACUUGCUCACCCCUGCUCUGCCCUGGGUCCCGGCGGUGACCCCUGCUGGCUUUGUUGUGAUUGCAGCCUGAGCCUGGCUGAGAGGCCCCGGCAGCAGAGUCGGGCUUGGGAGGAAGGGAAAAGCAGGGGUUUUCCUCUCCCUUUUGACCUCGGGUCCUGUCCCCACCGCAACUGUAGCUCCACCGUGGCUCCAGUGUCCCCAGAAGGCCUGCUGAGGUUUCCACUUUGCUCAGUGGCCCCAACCCCUGAGCCCAGUGACAUCACCUUUCUGUGUUGCUCUCUGGCCCGGGGCCGGCAGCUGCUGGCAUUGGUCUCGGUUCUCUGUUGGCUUCCUAGCCCUAACCCUAACUCUCCCAUCCCCACGGUGUGACCAGUACCUCGCCUAAGUCCCACUGCUUUAAAUAUCCCAGUGGGUUUUGCCCGCUGGCUAGAUCCCAACUCAGAGAAACAGUACAAUAAACACCCAAAACACCCAUCACUUCGGUUUGACAAUGAUUGCCACUCCACGAUACUUGUUUCAUCUUCUUUUGUUUCUGUGGGAAAAAAUCCGAGCCCUCCUGGUGUUGCUUAAAUGAGUUCAGUAUGUAUCUCUCAAGAAUAAGGACAUUUUCUUACAUAACAAGUAUAUUCAAACUGCUCCCCCCUGUGUUCACACAUUAACACACCUAACGAAAGGAGCAAACGUUCCCUGUGCUCGCGCACUACCCAAUACACAGUCAAAUUCUCCCAGCUGCUCUGAAGGUGACUAUUUUACAGUUGGUUUGUUUGAACUAGGGUUUAAACAAGACCCACACAUUGCAUUUGGCAGAUGUGUUUCCCGGGUGUCUUUUAAUCUGAAAUGUCACAAGAAGUCACACACGCUCACAGUAGGGGGCACAGCCAUACUGAGCCCCCGACUCAACCUGUGUGUGCCCGCACCCCCCGCAGAGCCCCUUACACAAACUGCUUCCUCUCCCGGGACAUCUCCGGAUGCCACAGCUGCGUACUGAACUCUGCUCCCUGCCGCAGGCAGUAAGGGGUACGUUGUCUGUAAAGAACUUAAAAACAAAUAAUAAAACCAUUUGCUAUAGGCUGAAAUGUGUCCCUCCCCCAAGAUUCAUAAGUUGAAGCCUUAAUCUCCAGUACGAUGGUGUUUGGAAGUGGAGCCUUUGGGUAACGAGGUCACGAGGAUGGGGUCCGCAUGAUGGGAUUAGUGCCCUUAUAAGAAGAGAGGACAGAGAGCUUGUUUCCCUCUCUCUGUCUCUGUCUCUCCCUUCCCCCUGCCAUGUGAGGACACAGUGAAAAGGCCAGAAGAAGGAACUGAAUCUGCUGGCACCCUGACCUUGGACUUCCAGCUUCCAGGACUGUGAGAAGUAAAUGUCUGUUGCUUAAGCCCCCCAGUCGGUGGUAUUUUGUUACAGCAGCCUGAGCUAAGACACCACUAAAAGUCAGUCAGCUUUUUGUUACCAGCAUGUACCAGCAGUUCUAAAGAACAUCAGUGAUAAAAUACUCCUUCCUGCAGCCUACAGGGCUCCCAUCACCCCCUCUUGUUAUGUCAUUGGUCAAUGUGACUCUUGUUAAGACUAUGCCAGGGGCUUCCCUGGUGGCGCAGUGGUUAAGAAUCCGCCUGCCAGCGCAGAGGACAUGGGUUCAAGCCCUGGUCCGGGAAGAUCCCACAUGCCACGGAGCAACUAAGCCCGUGCACUACAGCUACUCAGCCUGCUCUCUAGAGCCCACAAGCCACAACUACUGAUCCCAUGUGCCACAACUACUGAGCCCAUAUGCCACAAGUACUGAAGCCUGUGUGCCCAGAGCCCAUGCUCUGCAGCAAGAGAAGCUACCGCAAUGAGAAGCCCACAUACCGCUAUAAAGACCCAAUGCAGCCUAAAAUAAAUAAAUUGAAUUUUUAAAAAAGGACUAUGACAAAAAGAUAUGACUGAAUCAUCAAGAAGCAAAGUUAGUGUGUUGAAUAUGUGACUAAAAUGUCAGUAGGUAAAUCUGAUAAGGAUACGUACCGUAAAUUAACAUUUAUCUAAAGUCUAAAAGCACACAAAAUACUACUACUAUUAUUAAGAUAUAUAUACAUAUAUAACCAAAGUGUAAGGACUUUCCUAGAAAUAGCAGACACCAAAUUUAAGAUAGUGGUUGUCUCUGGGAGAGAUAGUAAAUAAGAGAGGAGAGAGAAAUAAAAGAGGUCCAUAGACAUAAAGGUAGCUUUUCCUGUCAUAGGCUAGGUGGUUUGUUAAGUUAUUCCCCACACAUUUUUUUUCUAAGGUAUAGUUGAUUUACAAUAUUGUGUUAGUUUCAGGUGUACAGCACGGCAAUUCAGUUAUAUAUAUAUAUAUAUAUAUAUAUAUAUAUAUACACACACACACACACAUACAUCUAUUCUUUUUCAGACUCUUUACCCUUAAAGAAGGGUAAACUCUACCCAUAGUAUUGAGUAGAGUGCCCUGUGCUGUACAGUAGGUCCUUGUUUAUCUAUUUUAUAUACAGUAGUGUGUGUAUGUUAAUCCCAAACUCCUCAUUUAUCCCUCCCCCCUUUCCCUUUUGGUAGCCGUAAGUUUGUUUUCUAUGUGUAUCUCUGUUUCGGAAAUAAGUUCAUUUGUAUCUUUUUUUUUUUUAGAUUCCACAUAUACGCGAUAUCAUACGCUAUUUGUCUCCCCCUACGCUUUUGCAUGGUUUAAAUAUCUUAUUCAAAGAAUGCCCGUUGAUCAGCCGUGUGCUGGUCAGGCCUACCACCAGGCUCGGUUUCCAGUUUCUAUGACGUGGCUUCUGUCCUGGCCUGGGGGCAUGACUGAGCCUGGUGCUUCUGAGCCCAGGGCUGGAAACAAGGCAGGUAUGUGGCUGAGCAGGUGGGCAGUGGCCAGAGCUGGAGGGUGGUGGUCACCAUAUUGGGACCCUGGGAGUCAUUGGGGUAGAUCAGUGGCGGGGCACCAGGGAGGUGGGUGACCUUGAGAGCACACAAGGGACAGUGAGGGUGGGGUCUGCAGGAGUGGAAGGGUGUGGAGAGAAGGGGGAUGGGCAUAUCCAGCCCCGUGGCUGGUCUGCUGUAGGAGGGCAGCCGUGGUAAAAAUGGAAGCAGCCAGAGAGUGCUAUUUAUAAGAAUAACUACAAAGGCUUGACAACCCAGAGAGAGCGCUGAAGAAGUAAAUUGAGGGCUGCUGGGGAAACGCUCAGGGCUUCUCAUCUUCAAAGCAUUUCUGAGACACGAGCUCAUGAAUCCUCCGCCCAGGGCUCUGAGCGAGACACGGGAAAGAAGGGAGGUGGGGACAACGCGUGGGUGACCUCCCCAAAGCAGCGGGAGCUGGCGGGUGGCUCACGGAAUGCGCGCUCGUCCCCUCCGGCCGGCUCCGCGCCCUGGGCCUCACCGGCUGCCAGGCUGGGUCACUGCGGGCCCGUCGAUGAAGGCAAGCCGAGGCUGCUGGUCAUGGGUCCAGGUGUGGGUCCGGGUAGAGCCCUGGCUGAGGCCCACGGGACUCAACACACGGGCGAGGGCUGCUGCGCAAACCCCAGGCGGGAGGCGGGUGUGAAGCAGACGAGGCGCCGGGGCGGGAAGGAGGGCAGAGAAGAGCCAGGAACGUGUGCCCCUACACUUGGACGGGGGGCUGUCUGGGACUUUGGCUGCACUGCCGGGAAUUCUAGGGUCCUACAGCAGGGAGGCUGUGAUCACGCUUCCCUGGAGGAAGAGACCAAGAGAACGAGUGUCUCUCAGGGUGGCAACGGUGGGGUUUGAACCUGUGGCCCUUUGCACGAAUCCCCUGGCCCCUGGCAGUCCCCACUCAUGCCUCCUUUCUACCCAAGGGCCUCUCCUCUGGAGGCUUUCCCGGCUGCCCCAGGGUGUCCCCAGCGGCUGAUCCGAAAGCACCCACCACGCUCAGCUGGAAGCGGCUCGUCGCUCGUCGCCCACUGGACGAGGGGCGGGCUUUCCGCUCGCUGGCUCCCCGCCCUGGCAGCAGCCGGGCUCGCCCCCGGUAUCCUGCAGGGUGACCUCCAAGUGGCAAAGCCUUUCCCUGUGUCUCAGGUCCAGGGGAGAAGCUGGGGGUCAGAAGUGACUGCCCUGCGGCCGAGGGGCUGGGCGGCCCAACAGGCAGGCGCCCCGACCGAUGGUGCGGAACAAAAACACGCUGUCCCCGCGGUGAGCCCUGUCCUAGUGUCGACGGAGCAUCCAGGUCCCAGAUGCGCGGAUGCAUCCACGAACGAAACAGGGACGGUGGUAACAAACUCUGCCCCACGAAGCACCAGACCCAGACCCAAAGGCAUUGCCGCAGUUUCAUGGUUCAGCACGUUCUCCCCCGGCAUCCGUGGUGAAGACUAUUUCAUCGUCCUCCACAGAAGGCGUAUUUGUGUGUGCAUAUGCUUGAGAGAAAUUUACUGCAAAGAUACGGGUACGAGGCCAGCUGGCAGCACUUUCCAAGCCAGGAGCCUCUUUGAGCAAUCUGCCCUAGAGUUCUUGUUUGCAAUGCUCAAAACCCCGCCGGUUUCUCUUUAAGGCUCGUAUGAAGGAGCUUCAUGGAAAAAAAAGCCCUGGGCAAAAAGCAUGCCAAGGGUUGAAGAAAGGAGGAUAAAGAUACAGUGACGUGGGCAGAAUAGUGACGCCUCCACCCCUCCGCCACCAAAGACGUCCACAUCCCAAUACCUAGAAGUGCGAAUGCGUUGGGUCGUACAGCAAAGGGGAAUUAAGGAGCAGUUUGCUGUGUCCUUGCUGUAAGCCAUUUUUUUGUUGAAAGAGAUAGGGCAAAAACAAACAAGUGGGCAAACCAAAUCCUAGCUUUAAAAACAAAAAGGCCACUGAAGACAUAUCAAGGCCUUCCUGCUAUUAUCGAGCGAAUUCUUUCCCAGGCUGGUCUGAGUUGCACCCAGACUUUACAUUAGGCUUUGUUCCAAGGGGCUGGAGGUGCCAGAGGGGAGACUGCAGCCUGAAAGAGGUUCAAGGAAAAAGGCUUCAUUUACAGGCGUGCCCACAUCAUACAGUUGGCAGUGCUGAGCUGAACGGUCUCCCAGCUUCCAGGGGAAAAUGAAAGACCUUCCCCCUACAGCUUCCCUUUCAAGCUCUCACAGCUGGAAGGGCCGGACAGCCAAGUUCCUCCCUUUUCAAUGCGGGUUGUCAUUCGGAUGCCAGGAUCUGCUGAUCUAUUCGCCAAAUACCCAACGUGAGAUCACGUCUUCUUGCUUAUCCAUCAUUAAAUGCUCCAUUUAAUGCAGAAGAACCUCACUUUCCCUUUUCCUCUUCUGCCACAGCUAAAAGAGAACGCCUCCACCAAGAGAUAAAAAUUACAAAGGCAGUAAAAGAAAGGAACACGAUUUCUGAGCAGGCCCCUCAUUUGUAAUUCCGCACCAGAGGCUAUGCGUUUCAUCGAAUCUGAGAACAGGAAGGGGGCUUGGGGACCCUCUUGUGUAACCCCCUUAUUUUACAGAUGGAGAAGCAGUCGCCUGGAGAGGUAAAGUGGCUCACCCUGGACCACACAACUAGUCAAGGACACGGGCAGUACCAGAUGCACAUCACCCGACUCCAGCCUUUACCCGCUGCACCACGGACAUCUUUAUCAGACCACAGUCACAAACUCCUGUGCGAUUUAAUGCCCUUGAAGAAGAACAAGGUGAGAAAUAGCCCCGCUGCUUCUAGGCUAUUUUAAACCAGCAACCCCAGCAGUCACGCUAAAGAGCCCAGCUUAUUUUUCUUGUCACACGGAAUCAAAGCGUUUCAGGCAGACUUUCCUAACUCACAAAUAAGCUGUGUUCCAACAGUGUGUUUGGAAUUUGCUAUUUAGGACGCAGCAUGUGUUUUCUUCCCGGGAAAUCACAUGGUCCAAUGUGGUUAGAACCCCGGGCCAGGUCGCAAAGGCUGACUUAACCAAGAAGUAACCACAGUGGAGUCGAAGCAAGCCUUCACCCUAUACUUUCCAAGCAAAGGCACAUUCCAAGUUUCAGAUGGAACUAGUGGGAACACAGCAAGCCCACCAGGGCUCCGGCAGGAAGAGGUCUGGCUCAGAUAAGAGCUAAGAGGCCCCAGGGCUUCCCUGGUGGCACAGUGGUUGAGAAUCCGCCUGCCAAUGUAGGGGACACGGGCUCGAGCCCUGGUCCAGGAAGAUCCCACGUGCCGCGGAGCAGCUAAGCCCGUGCGCCACAACUACUGAGCCCGAGUGCCACAACUACUGAGCCCGUGUGCUGCAACUACUGAGCCCACGUUCCGCAACUACUGAAGCCCACGCGCCUAGAGCCCGUGCUCUGCUACAAGAGUUGCCACCGCAAUGAGAAGCCCGUGCACUGCAAGGGAGAGUAGCCCCCGCUCGCCGCAACUAGAGAAAGCCCACGCGCAGCAACGGAGACCCAAUGCAGCCAAAAAUAAAUAAAUUACUGAAUUAUUUAAAAAAAAAAAAAAA